GUGGGGAAUCUUCCGCAAUGGACGAAAGUCUGACGGAGCAACGCCGCGUGAGUGAUGAAGGUCUUCGGAUUGUAAAGCUCUGCUAAUCGGGACGAAAGAGCCUAGUGUGAAUAAUGCUAGGAAGUGACGGUACCGGAAUAGAAAGCCACGGCUAACUACGUGCCAGCAGCCGCGGUAAUACGUAGGUGGCAAGCGUUGUCCGGAAUUAUUGGGCGUAAAGCGCGCGCAGGCGGAUCUGCCAGUCUGUCUUGAAAGUUCGGGGCUUAACCCCGUGAUGGGAUGGAAACUACAGAUAUAGAGUAUCGGAGAGGAAAGUGGAAUUCCUAGUGUAGCGGUGAAAUGCGUAGAUAUUAGGAAGAACACCAGUGGCGAAGGCGACUUUCUGGACGAAAACUGACGCUGAGGCGCGAAAGCCAGGGGAGCGAACGGGAUUAGAAACCCGUGUAGUCC
rnacentral:rRNA from 1 species